rnacentral:rRNA from 1 species
GACGAACGCUGGCGGCGUGCUUAACACAUGCAAGUCGAACGGAAAGGCCCUGCUUUUGUGGGGUGCUCGAGUGGCGAACGGGUGAGUAACACGUGAGUAACCUGCCCUUGACUUUGGGAUAACUUCAGGAAACUGGGGCUAAUACCGGAUAGGAGCUCCUGCUGCAUGGUGGGGGUUGGAAAGUUUCGGCGGUUGGGGAUGGACUCGCGGCUUAUCAGCUUGUUGGUGGGGUAGUGGCUUACCAAGGCUUUGACGGGUAGCCGGCCUGUGAGGGUGACCAGCCACAUGGGGACUGAGAUACGGACCAGAAUGCAACGGGAGGCAGCAGGGGGGAAUAUUGCAGAAUGGGCGGAAGCCUGAUGCAGCAACGCCGCGUGCGGGAUGACGGGCUACGGGUUGUAAACAGAUUUCGCCUGUGACGAAGCGUGAGUGACGGUAAUGGGUAAAGAAGCACCGGCUAACUACGUG